rnacentral:lncRNA from 1 species
UGACACUACAUUCCUUCCAGUGCUCACAAUCAGAGAGAACUGGUCAGCAGAGGAGGCCUCUCACAUCACACUGAUUCCCCUCCUUACCACCAACAUCAUCACUUUUCCUGCCAAAGAGCGUUACCUUUGCUUUCAGCUGAUUUGGACUUGGUGUAAUGAUAAAACUUUAGAGCCACAGCUGUGAACAGAGACUCUCACAUGCCAGACACUGCAUUAAACAGAUAAAAAAGAUGCCCACCUAAAAAGAUUUAUAGUAUCCUUGUUCCUGGCAUGAUGGCUUCUCUCAGAGGGAAAAUAAAAUUAGAAUGAGCAGCUGUCAUUUCUGUGAACAGAUCAUGGGAAUGGAAAACUUACCAGUACCUAACAUUGGCAAGAUCAGAAAUACUUCAAGUGCAAGGAAACACGGAAAAUCAACAAAGAAAACAAGUCCUAGUUUCCUACAUCAUGCGGGCUCUCCUACCAGCCAAGGAAUGAACAUGACUUCAUCUCAGACCCAUCAUCAAAAUUCCCGAGUCAUCCCCCGAGUCAUCCCACUGGGUGGGUGCAGGGCAGCUCCAAGCUGUUCCUCUCCCAGGUGGCAGCAAGCUGCCAUUAGCUUCUCCUAGAGGCUGACAAGAUAUCAUUUUCUACAGGAGGGGCAUGUGUCUCCUGACUGCAACAUCAUUUUUGAAUCAGUUCUAAAUAUAUUAACAUUUUCUUGUUGAAAAACAAUUGUAAUUUUCCUGUUAAAAAAUUGCACAAAAAGCAGGACCCUCCAAACUUG